rnacentral:rRNA from 1 species
UACGUAGGGUGCGAGCGUUUGUCCGGAAUUAUUGGGCGUAAAGAGCUCGUAGGCGGUUUGUUGCGUCGGCCGUGAAAACUUGGGGCUUAACCCCGAGCCUGCGGUCGAUACGGGCAGACUUGAGUUCGGCAGGGGAGACUGGAAUUCCGUGGUGUAGCGUGAAAUGCGCAGAUAUCAGGAGGAACACCGGUGGCGAAGGCGGGUCUCUGGGUACGUAACUGACGUGACGUGAGGAACGAAAGCGUGGGAGCGAACAGGAUUAGAACCUACCGUACGAGUCCA